AGUGAACGCUGGCGGCGGGCCUAACACAUGCAAGUCGAACGGCAGCACAGUAAGAGUGUGCCCUUAACGGUGGCGAGUGGCGGGCGGGUGAGGAAUACAUCGGAAUCUACUUUUUCGGGGGGGAUAACGGAGGGAAAGAUACGCUAAUACCGCAUACGACCUACGGGUGGAAGCAGUGGAUCUUCGGACCUUGCGCGAUUGUAUGAGACGAUGUCGGAUUAGCUUGUUGGGGGGGUAAAGGCCCAGCAAGGCGACGGAACGUUGCUUGACUGAGAGGAUGAUCAGCCACACUGGAACUGAGACACGGUCCAGACCCCUACGGGAGGCCGCAGUGGGGAAUAUUGGACAAUGGGGGGAAACCUGGUCCAACCAUCCCGCGUUGGUGGAGAAGGCCUUCCGGUUGUAAAGCCCUUUUGUUGGGGAAGAAAAGCAGGAGGUUGUAACCCCGCUGUUCUGACGGUACCCAAAGAAUAAGCCCCGGCUAACUUCGUG
rnacentral:rRNA from 1 species